UACGAAGGGGGCGAGCGUUGUUCGGAUUUACUGGGCGUAAAGGGCGCGCAGGCGGUUCUGUUUGUCGAGUGUGAAAGCCCCGGGCUCAACCUGGGAACUGCGCUCGAAACGGCAGAACUAGAGUUCGGGAGAGGAGAGUGGAAUUCCCAGUGUAGAGGUGAAAUGCGUAGAUAUCGAGAGGAACACCAGUGGCGAAGGCGAGUCCCUGGACAACACCUGACACUGAGGCACGAAAGCUAGGGGAGCAAACAGG
rnacentral:rRNA from 1 species